rnacentral:lncRNA from 1 species
UUAAUAAUUUGCAAACGAAUGCACAAUUUACUCUCAACCUGGAGUUUUUUAACAACUUUCAGUUUCAAAUGAUACACCUUGAGAUGGUGCAAUUAUAGACUGAACAUGAAAGUGACUACUGGAGUUCUCACUUUGUUUCUGAACCAUUUUAAACAAAACAUAUCUUGUUACUAUUACAUUAAACACAUGAUGAACAACCACAAGCAUCUGAACGUUACUUUUGGACUCGACUUUCAAACGGUACCCUAACCUAAGGUUAAAUCUCAGACUAAUAUAAUAGUGUGAACUGAAAUUAGCAACAUUCACUAUUCUACUUAUAAUACUCAUUUAAGUCUGUAAUGCAGUCCGAUUAGCACAAACAAUGUAAUGUCUAAAUAACUAUAAUUAUAACAUGUGUUUAAACUGAAGUAGACUGCUAAGAAAUUCAUAAAAAAAGCAUAUUGUAUUUCAGGGUCUCUUCCAAUAUUGAUCAUACACUUGACUCAAGUUUCACAUGUCAUUUGAGGCUGAAAAAGUACCUGGAGAUUGAAGCAAAAUGUGAUGAAACAAGAAUCAGCAAGUAGCAAUGAAACAACAACAGUUCCGAAUUAAUUCCAACCAGGAAAUGUUAUCAAAUAACUCAGGAAGUGAUUUUAAUCGAAUAACACCAGCAAACAAAUCCAAAAUCAGCUUGAAUGACCAAAUUGAAAUUCAGAAAUCAACCAGGAGCUCAUGAAAACCUUAACUGGUGAAAAACAAGGAGAAUUCAACCCAUUUUUUCGAUUCUAGAUAGGCUAAGGAUUAAGCUGAGAGUUCGGACUUCAAAAAUCCCCCAAGGUUCAAUGGAAUAGUGAUGUUUUUGCAAUUUCAGUUGCCUCAAGUGUUCAGAAUCCUUCCGUAAAAGAAAAAAACUCUUCCAAAGGCCAGGUUGGAAUGCCCUUUUAUAAACAACGUCUAGGGCAACCUUCAGAUUUUAGUUUACACCCUAAGUCCCUCUUUUAUUUUAAGAUUUUGGUUAAUUAGUCCCUUAGUUAUUGGCUUGUUGGCAAAGUAACACUACCAACUCCCUGAAAUCUUAAUUAAAGCCCAAUCUAGAAGGUUCUAGGGAAUUCCAAAUUAGUUACUGCAGGAUUUCUUAUUUUGAGGAUUGCCUACACUACCCCCAUCCUUGCCCCUGAAUUACUAAACCAUUCCAAACUAAAGCCCCAACCCUUGGUCAAAACUGACCAUAGUUAACUAAUACAAUCCUGUAAAUGUUCAGCACCAAUCAAUCAAUACUUCAAUUAACAAAGUUAAUUAAACCUAUUCUUAAUCCUAAAUUAAUCAUUAUCAGUUCAAAUUAGCAACUAUUGGGCAAUUAUGCAUUAAACAGGAAUCUAUGGAUAUAAACAGAAUUAAUCAUAUAUUCAAUCACUGAAUCAUGAAUCUAACAUUAACACUCAAGAUAUGAAUCAAACGAAAUCAGGAAAGGAAACUAAACUUAACAAGAAAAAUCUAAGAAAACUAGGAAGAAAAUUCUAAUGAACAAAACAUGAACGAAUAAUAAAAACAUAAAAAGAAAAUUCUAGGAGCAGACAGAAUUAAUUAUAAGAUUCUCUAAAUUACAUACUAGAGAAAAAGAAUCAAUACGAAACUGAACAAAAGCUAAAAAAGAUAAGCAAAACAGUAAAGAAAUACAAGAAGAAGAAACUUACGCAAACUCAAAUUGAUCUCGACUGACUUUGAACUUGAUCCCCAGGUGAUGUUAUUUGCCUAUUCUUUGUCAAAAAUAGGCAAAUAACAUCAUAUAAGGAUCAACCUACCACUGAGAAACAUCCAAGCACUAAAAUCCCCAAAGACCCUAAAUCGAAACCCUAGAUCUAGGAUUCGAGCAAUUCUGGUUGGAUUUGAGGGAAAUUGGUUUAGGAUUUGGGAAGAAGAGGGUUAGGAGACUGUUGGGUUUUAAUUUGGAGUGGUUUGGAAAAUGGUGAGACUUUGGCCGGGAUUUCCAUUUGAUAUUCGAUAAAUUCAGCGCAUGUUCAAGGACUAGGACUUACAGAUUUGGGACGAGAGGAGUUUGGUGGCCAUGUGGUGUUCUUUUGGAGUCGUUUGUCGACGGCGCCGCCGCACACGGCGGAGCAGCAACCACUUUGAUUGAAUAUUUGACAAGCUUGGCUGCCAUUCGAGGGACACCAAGCCUAGAUUUGGAUAGAGGAGGUCGAGGAGGUGGGAUGGUGUAAUUUUGGGGGUCAUCGUAGAAUCGCCGCCGGUGGAGGGUGGUGGUGUGUAUAGGGGUGUGAGAGACAGGGUACGAGGUUUAUUUU